UACGUAGGGGGCUAGCGUUGUCCGGAAUCAUUGGGCGUAAAGCGCGUGUAGGCGGUCCGGUAAGUCCGCUGUGAAAGUCGGGGGGCUCAACCCUCGAAUGCCGGUGGAUACUGUCGGGCUAGAGUGCGGAAGAGGCGAGUGGAAUUCCUGGUGUAGCGGUGAAAUGCGCAGAUAUCAGGAGGAACACCAAUUGCGAAGGCAGCUCGCUGGGACGUAACUGACGCUGAGACGCGAAAGCGUGG
rnacentral:rRNA from 1 species